ensembl:lncRNA
UGUCCAGAGUUCAGAUCCCCAUAGAGGACUCUGUCCUUACUGAAGCUGGGCCCUGCUUGGCAGCAAAAUGGCCCCAAGCUCCUUCGGCUGGCUCCCUGAAGCAUACUUCCCAUUUUGAGUCCUUGCUCACAAGCCUUGAAUUCUGCCUAUAACAAUAAAAGCCCUCAGUUGGCAUUAUCCCCUACAUCCACUAUAUCCAGGGUGCCUGUCUCCCCCCCAAAAAUCUUUACUGAGAUAAAAUUCAUAUCCUGUACAAUGGGAAAUGACCCUGUACAAUUCUGUGACUCAGUAUCAUUCAGAGUUCAGCAACCAUCAGCACAAUUUUAGAACUUACCAUCCUGAAAGUAAACAGCACCCCUUAUCACUUGAGCCCCCAUCUCUAGGCAACCCCUAAUCUACUUUCUGUCUCUGUAGAUUUGCCUGAUCUGUACAUACCACACAUGGAAUCAGAAAUAUCCAGGGUUGCUUGGCCAUUGAAUGUCAUUGUCCUUCCCCAGAGACUUCUAUCUCCCGCUGAUCUUUGCUCACCAGAAGUGCCAGAAAUUGUCAACCUGACUGGUGUCUGCUGCUGUUAGCAGAUACCAAGCUUAUCGAGAGUGUGUAUCCUUAAAGCCACACCUUUAUGCUUGUAUCGUUCUGAACCAUGGCUGACAAAGUUGGGGGGCUGGAGGGCUGGGAUGUAGCUCAGUGGCACUGUGCCUCCCUGGCAAGCACAAGGUCCUGAGUUCGAUCCCCAGUACCAAAAAACAAGUUCAAUUGGGCCUGGGAUUUAGCUCAGUGGUUUUGCCGCCUGCUGCUCAAGCACAAGGACCUGAGUUCCAUCCUUGGUACUAAAAAAACAAGUUCAAUUAACAACAACAAAAAAAAAAUUGGGGGGCUGGGGUAGUUCAGUGGUAGACCACUUGCCUGGCUGGGUUCAAUUUGCAGCACUCAAAAAACUACCUUGGCCCAGAAGAACCCCCCAACCCCAAGAGCAGAUGCUGCCACCCUCUGACUAUCCUACUUCUUCACUCAAGGUAGGCAGGAAGCAGCACGUCCCUGUGCAGCCCAAACUCCAACAUGCCACCUGUGCCCAGGCAUGGGUUUCUCCCAGGGCACCUACCCAGGACCACUGUCCAGUGCGAACACGUGCUGCCACCGUCCAAGCUUCUGACCCCGGGGAGGCAUCCUGGCUUUCCCCUGCCCUCUAUCUUGAUGCCAACCCAAAAAAGAAAAGAAAAAAGACAUAACUAGAUGUAACUAGACUGUGACCUGAACAUUGCUUCAGUUCAAAACCAGUUUCUCUUUUCUGCUCAGGAAGGUCCCCAGAGGAGAUCUUCCUUCCUUCCUUCCUCCCUUCCUUCCUUUCUUUCUCCUGGGUUUUGUUUGUUUGGGGGAUUUUCAUCUGGUUUUGGGGGUUAUUUUUCAGUGCUGGAGAUCAAACCCAGGGACCUGAACCUCUCUACCACUAAGCCACACGCCCAGCCAUGGGUUUUAAGGGCUCUGUUCAGUCACUUAGACAUCCAGCCAGCAGUCUGAGCUGGGAUCUGCAAAUGCAAAGGUAUGACAGACUUGACUUAGUUCUCGAUUACCUUUGCAAAUUAAAUCAGGCACAAGGGAGAAAUGAAGUAUUUACAAUGCAAUGAAUGUUUUUAAUUCUCUGGAGUCCGAACUCUGCAUUUCGUGUUCUCCCAUCCUGAUAAAUCAGGGGCCCCAGGGUGCUUAGCUCAGAGUAAAUUCAGGGCUGGUCCUGCAGCCUGGGUCUCAUGUCACAAGUCAAGUCAUGUAUUGUGACAGAAAGUUUCCCUACAAAGAGGAGACAGUUACCACAGGGCUGAGAUGCUGGCCCUGCUGGUCAACAACUGAGCCACCUCUACUAAGCCAUCUUCCCCAGGCCUCAGCUUGCUCAUGUCUAAAAUGGGCAUGGCAGGAGUGCCUGCCUCCUAGGAUGGAAUCCAGGGAGAAGUGCUCAGUGCUCUCAGCCACCACCAGGUUCUCCACCACACUGCUGUUCCUGGAAGGAGCCCAGUGGCUCCUCAGUUCUCUGUGCCUCUCUCCUGAUUCUGGUAGGGUAUCUUGUGCACCCUGGCAUGCUGUUUAGCCUCUUCUCCUGCUGCUAUUUAUUGUUCUCUCCCUCAUGUGUUUGCUUUUUCAGAUUCUAAAAGAAAUCUAUGUGCUAAUACUUGGUGUAUAUUAGGAGUUGAAUACAUGUGUCGACUAAGUGAAUAAGCUUGUGGAAAAAUGGCAAGAAUACGGAUCCUACAGGGCUAUAUUAUAGAAGAAUACACCAUAGAACCCCUGCCUGUGGGCAGAAGCUGCCGAGGGGAUCGAACUCGGGUCCUUGCACUUGCAGGGCAGGCAGCGGAACCACUGAGCUACAUCCCCAGCCUGUCACCUUAUUCUUAACACAGCCCUAUGAGGUAGAUACCAUUACUCCUGUUUUAUAAAUGACAAAAGAAGCUGUAUGUGAUGGCUCACACCUAUAAUUCCAGCACUUAGAAAGCAGAGGCAGGAGGAUCACCAUGAGUUCAAGCCCAGCCUGGCCUACAUAGUGAGGCCUUGUCUCAAAAGAAAUGACAAAAUCAUUCCAGAACAUGGGGGGACACACAACUAAGAAGCAGCCAGGCAACCCCAGACUCCCGAGCUCCUACAUGCUCAUCAGAAUAGCCCAAACCAUCUGGCUAUAGGGUAACAAUACAAAGUGGUUUGAACAAUACUGCUCCCUUCUGGGCUAAGAAAAAUUACUAUGAUUUUAUUUUAAUACAGGCUCAAUACUCUGCCUUAGACUUAAUUGUCCCCUUAUGUUACAACAAACAAGCCCCCAAAAAUGGUAGUAUUGUUAUUCAUACAGAAGAAUUUGUGCUUCUGGCUGGGACAAGAGUUAUGAAG